rnacentral:lncRNA from 1 species
GUUUCAAGUGAUUCAAUCAAAUUCAAUAUAACAAAAGCUAAAAUAAUGGUUAGGGCUCGUAAACAUUAGUGAUUCAAUCAAAUUCAAUAUAACAAAAGCUAAAAUAAUGAUUAGGGCUCGUAAACAUGAGAUUUCUUCUUAUGAGGCAUAUGAAAUCGACACUGCAUCGCUACUAUUGUUCGCAACCAUCUAACCACCCCUUGGCACGCUAUUGUUUGACAUUCCUAAUCUUCUUUCCUCUUCUCAUUUCUCAUUAUUCUUUCUCCUUCGCUACAUCUUCCUCUUCUCCUCCUUCGUGUUUGAUUCGCUACAUCUUCCUCUUCUCCUCCUUCGUGUUUGAAACAUUGAUACCGACUAAUACGAUCACUUCCUCAUUUCCUUACUUUUCUUUUUUCACCUUCCUCCUUCACCGUACCCUCCUAUUUCAGAUGGCAUCUUGAAGCUCUCUCCAAGGUGAUGGCCAUCUCUGCGUACUCUGAUCCCAUACAGAUCUUGAAAAUGAUGGUUGCGGCACAGAGGGAAGGGAAUCUCUUUAGAGCCUCACAGCUUGGUUUUCUCAAAAGGUUCAAUUUUACAUAGAUUCAAGCCUGUAAGGCAGCAGAGAGCAACAGUGCAAACAUCUCAAAUGCAGCGACAAGUUCUGUUUGAUUAAUUUUCUUGUUUAUAGAGAGCACAAUUGGGACUCUUCUACUCCUUGAAACA